rnacentral:rRNA from 1 species
AUUGAACGCUGGCGGCAGGCCUAACACAUGCAAGUCGAACGCGUGGCGGACGGGUGAGUAAUGUCUGUGAAACUGCCCGAUGGCGGGGGUUAACUCCUGGAAACGGUAGCUAAUACCGCAUACCAUCUGAUGUGCCCAGAUGGGAUUAGCUAGUGGGUGGGGUAACGGCUCACCUAGGCGACGAUCCAUAGUUGGUCUGAGAGGAUGACCAGCCACACUGGAACUGAGACACGGUCCAGACUCCUACGGGAGGCAGCAGUGGGGAAUAUUGCACAAUGGGCGCAAGCCUGAUGCAGCAAUGCCGCGUGUAUGAAGAAGGCCUUCGGGUUGUAAAGCACUUUUAGCGAGGAGGCGUUACUCGCAGAAGAAGCACCGGCUAACUCCGUGCCAGCAGCCGCGGUAAUAC